rnacentral:rRNA from 1 species
GACGAACGCUGGCGGCGUGCUUAACACAUGCAAGUCGAACGGAAAGGCCCUGCUUUUGUGGGGUGCUCGAUUGGCGAACGGGUGAGUAACACGUGAGUAACCUGCCCUUGUCUUUGUGAUAACUUCAGGAAACUGGGGCUAAUACCCGAUAGGAUCUCCUGCUGCAUGGUGGUGGUUGGAAAGUUUCGGCGGUUGGGGAUGGACUCGCGGCUUAUCAGCUUGUUGGUGUGGUAGUGGCUUACCAAGGCUUUGACGGGUAGCCGGCCUGUGAGGGUGACCGGCAACAUUGGGACUGAGAGACGGAGCAGACGGCAACGGGAGGCAGCAGUGGGGAAUAUUGCACAAUGGGCGGAAGCCUGAUGCAGAAACGCCGCGUGCGGGAUGACGGCCUUCGGGGUGUAAACAGAUUUCGCCUGUGACGAAGAGUGAGUGACGGUAAUGGGUAAAGAAGCACCGGCUAACUACGUG